GACGAACGCUGGCGGCGUGCUUAACACAUGCAAGUCGAACGGGCCCGCCCCUGUUUUUGGGGGUGGGUUGAGUGGCGAACGGGUGAGUAUCACGUGAGUAACCUGCCCCCUGCUCCUGGAUAACUGCUUGAAAGGGCGGCUAAUACGGGGUGUGCCGGCUGGUCCGCAUGGGCCUGGUCGGGAUAGUUUCAUCUUCGGGUGUUUCGGUGGGGGAUGGGCUCGCGGCCUAUCAGCUUGUUGGUGGGGUGAUGGCCCACCAAGGCGGUGACGGGUAGCCGGCCUGAGAGGGUGGGCGGCCACACUGGGACUGAGACACGGCCCAGACUCCUGCGGGAGGCAGCAGUGGGGGGUAUUGCACAAUGGGCGGAGGCCUGAUGCAGCGACGUCGCGUGAGGGAUGGAGGCCUUCGGGUUGUGAACCUCUUUCUCCGGUGGUGAAGGCCCUGUCCGUUGCGGCGGGGUUGACGGUAGCCGGGUAUGAAGCGCCGGCUAACUACGUG
rnacentral:rRNA from 1 species